AUGGCUCCCGAAGUGUUGCCAAAACCUCAGAUGUGUGGCCUUCUGGCCAAGCGUCUGCGAUUUCAAUGUUUGGAGCAUUCAUGGUGUCCCUGGGGGUUGCAGCUUUGUAUGAGUUUGGUGUGGGUGAACCAAGAAAGAAGGCAUAUGCAGAUUUCUGCAGAAAUUAUGAGAUUUUGAGCAGAUGAGGAAGGCUGGUAUCUUUCAGUUUAAAGUAA
rnacentral:lncRNA from 1 species